AUAUAUGGUCAUACCACCCUAUACAUGGCUGAUCUUGUCUGAUCUAACAUAAGCAGGGUUGUGCCUGGUAAGUACUUGGAUGGGAGACUGCCUGGGAUUACCAGGUGCUGAGUUUU
rnacentral:rRNA from 1 species